rnacentral:rRNA from 2 species
UCUGUUGUUAAAGAAGAACAUAUCUGAGAGUAACUGUUCAGGUAUUGACGGUAUUUAACCAGAAAGCCACGGCUAACUACGUGCCAGCAGCCGCGGUAAUACGUAGGUGGCAAGCGUUGUCCGGAUUUAUUGGGCGUAAAGCGAGCGCAGGCGGUUUUUUAAGUCUGAUGUGAAAGCCUUCGGCUCAACCGAAGAAGUGCAUCGGAAACUGGGAAACUUGAGUGCAGAAGAGGACAGUGGAAUUCCAUGUGUAGCGGUGAAAUGCGUAGAUAUAUGGAAGAACACCAGUGGCGAAGGCGGCUGUCUGGUCUGUAACUGACGCUGAGGCUCGAAAGUAUGGGUAGCAAACAGGAUUAGAUACCCUGGUAGUCCAUACCGUAAACGAUGAAUGCUAAGUGUUGG